GAUAAAAGGGCUCUUGAAAUCUAUUCUUGGGUAUGCCUACUUUUGCUAGCCAACCCCACUUCUUGCAAGAACGUAUUUAACAAUAGAACUGCUUACUGCUUCACUUAAUGACCUUGUCGCAUUUCUCACAAUAUUUUUUUUUGGGGGGGGAGGGCUCCUCUGGGAUUUUAAAAGGGCCAAUCCCCCCUCCUUUCACUGGUGGGAGGGGUCGUCCAUCUCCUCCGACUGACUGCAAUCCCAGGAUACGGUCGUACUAGUGACUCAGCAGCAACCAAGAGGGGAGUAGGAGAAAAUAAGUGGGCAUCCCAGCCAGCAACCCGGCGUGCACAGACCACGAAAUGAAGCCCUUUUCGUUCCAUGCAGUCUACACAGCAUCCAGCCUGGAGAACUGGGCCUUUAUCCGAUCCAGGAGACAAUCCAGACUACGUCCUGGAGUAGAAGGCCCUUUCCAAGUGCUGCCGCUGACCCCUGAGACAGCUGCUGGACCCCUUACACCGGGCUGAAGGGAGCUCCACAAGUAGAAAAAGUGGACGCUACAACUUUCUGGUGACUCCCUUCUCUUGAGACGAUAAAAUAAUACGUUCGCUUUUAGGGACCCAUGGCAAAAAGAUUAUCGGGAUUUUUUUAACCCACAGGUAGUUUGUUUUCAGGUCACAGUUUAUUUGACCGUUGCCAUGGCCAAAGGGGUUAAGCGUAAUGGCAUUGGGGUGGGGGUGGGGAUUUGGUCCUUGGUUUAAAUAAAUAUUCUGUUUGGUGCUAGAAAUAUAGAACAAGGUAGGAUUUUUCAAAAGGCCAUUGGACUUUCUUGGGGUUUUGUUUUUUUUUCUUUUGAAGAUGUUUUGCUUCCCAUCCUGGAAGCUUCUUCAGCUCUGACAGGAUCAGGGGUGAAAUGCUCCCAGUUCGGACCGGAUCACCCGAUCCAGUAGUGAUGGCGGCGGGUGGUUUGGAGAACCGGUAGCAAAAAUCCCUGCCGCCCCCCCACCCCAUGCCCAGCUGAGCCACGCGAUCACCAGACGGUUUUUUUUUUUACUUUUAAAAACACUUUUUCUUCCGCUGAAAAAAUGCUUUUAAAAGUAAAAAAAAAAAGCCUCUGAUGAUCACGCGGCUCAGCUGGGAUCGUCAGAAUCCUUUCAAAGCAUUUUUUCUACAACCUCUUUGGCUGAAGAGGCUGUAAAAAAAAUGAUUUUAAAAGGCUCGUCUUGUAGCAGCAAAUCUUGUUACCGAUUCAGGACACAAGACCACGAAGGGACAGAGAAAACAUGUUUAUUUGUGCAAAGGUUCACAGCAUUAACAUGCCAAAUUCUGAACCCCGGGCUACGCCCAAGGUGUGUCAUUUAUAGAUUUUGCAAUCCCAGCCUCACCUGAGGCGUUACUCUUAUCUAGCUAUACCAAAGCAAAACGUAUGUAAAAAAAGGAGAAGUUUUCAUAAUUGGUUCUCUUACUAUAUUUCCAUAUAUGGGUAUUAUCUUAAACCAUCUGUUACUUUCGGUAGUCACAUCUUGCAAUAUGUUCUUUUACAGGAAUUAUCUAGUACAUAGGUCGCUAUGCGCAUGAUUACAUUUAGCAAGUUCUCUAUACUUUCCUAAGGGCCUCUGGUGGCUCAACGGACUAAGUCUGUCUGUUAUUAACACAGCUGCUUGCAAUUACUGCAGGUUCAAGUCCCACCAGGCCCAAGGUUGACUCAGCCUUCCAUCCUUUAUAAGGUAGGUAAAAUGAGGACCCAGAUUGUUGGGGGGGCAAUAAGUUGACUUUGUAUAUAUUAUACAAA